GUCCUAGCCACUCUUAAAAUUGUGCUCCUGAAGCCUUCGCGUUAGGUUCUUAUCGAUGGCAGGGGCCAUCUCUGAAGUACGUCUCAAUGGGCCACUAAGUGGUGAUUGUGAGAUGCGAGGGAAUCAACAUCUCUGGAAACUUUUACCGUGAAGUACUUGGCUUUCCUGCGCAAGAGAAUGAACACCAAUCCCUCUCGUGGACCAUACCACUUCAGAGCUCCUAGCAGGAUCUUCUGGAGGACUGUCAGGGGUAUGCUUCCUCACAAGGCCAAGAGGGGACAGGCUGCUCUUGAGAGGCUGAAGGUGAUGGGAUUCCCCCUCCUUAUGACAAGGCAA